rnacentral:lncRNA from 1 species
GGACAAAGGUUGUCCAAACGAAGCUUAAGACCUGAGAAAGAUUAAUGGGCUUGAAGAAUCAAACGAAAGUUCAAUUUUUGGCCCAACUCGAGAAGGCCUCAAUGCCUUAGGGUCUAGAAGACAUUCGACCAAGUCAGGCCACACAUAUGCCCAACCUUGCGCCCAUGUGUAGAUUGAUAGCUCCACAUGCCUCGCAUGCGCACAAGUAUUGAUGUAAGCCCAUCCGAACACACACAUUGCACGCGUGCCCACACAACAAGUUAGGCAUCCAGCUCAUGUCUAGCAACGACCCUAGUCAGCAAGCUAAGCAUACGCCAAACAUGCAGCAGCUAGACGCACAAUCAGCGUGCAAUAUGUAUGCUGGCCCAGCCUUUGUUGGCAGGUUAUUUGUGCGACCUGCACUACCCCUUACAUGUGACCCAUGUGUUCAUUCUGGUGGAUCUGCACCGCGACGCGCAUGGCCCAGCAGGAGCACCUCGUGCACCCAACUAACAUGACUCGCAUGCCCCAUCCAGAUCGACCUGUACACCCAUUUGAACCAACCUGCAUGCCCACCUCGAGUUGACCCAUGCACCUGCUUCUUCCUGGCAGCAGCAGUUAGAGUCUUCUUUUUGGACUCU